rnacentral:rRNA from 1 species
UACGUAGGGACCAAGCGUUGUUCGGAUUUACUGGGCGUAAAGGGCGCGUAGGCGGCAAUUCAAGUCAUCUGUGAAAUCUCCGGGCUUAACUCGGAACGGUCAGAUGGUACUGCUUUGCUAGAGUACAGAAGGGGCAAUCGGAAUUCUUGGUGUAGCGGUGAAAUGCGUAGAUAUCAAGAGGAACACCGGUGGCGAAGGCGGGACUCUGGGCCGAUACUGACGCUGAGGAGCGAAAGCGUGGGGAGCGAACAGG